rnacentral:rRNA from 2 species
CAUGCCGCGUGUGUGAAGAGGCCUUCGGGUUGUAAAGCACUUUUGUCCGGAAAGAAAACCUCUUGGUUAAUACCUGAGGGGGAUGACGGUACCGGAAGAAUAAGCACCGGCUAACUACGUGCCAGCAGCCGCGGUAAUACGUAGGGUGCGAGCGUUAAUCGGAAUUACUGGGCGUAAAGCGUGCGCAGGCGGUCUGUUAAGACCGAUGUGAAAUCCCCGGGCUUAACCUGGGAACUGCAUUGGUGACUGGCAGGCUUUGAGUGUGGCAGAGGGAGGUAGAAUUCCACGUGUAGCAGUGAAAUGCGUAGAGAUGUGGAGGAAUACCGAUGGCGAAGGCAGCCUCCUGGGCCAACACUGACGCUCAUGCACGAAAGCGUGGGGAGCAAACA